GUUUGGGCAACCAUGCCUGGGACUUAACAAAAUCCUUUGACUUGAAAGAUAAAACAAAUAGAAUUAUAAAAAGAUUAACUUGAAACUAGAGCAGGAAUUUGUCACAAACCGAUGAUGCUGUCAGUUUGUGGCCUGGUUUUGUAAGCAGGAACCCUCAGAAUGGCAAUUUGAAUCCUCACUCAGGGAGUGGAUGCUCUGCCCAGGACUUUUCCCCAACUGGGACUCCAGGUUGCUGUUACACGGGACUUCCCAGCAAUGCUUGAGUCUGGAAGUGUCUACCCAGUCAGUUUGGAGACAGCCUGAGAUGAAGGACGCACAGCACUUUGGAACUUGUAGGGCACCUCCUACCUUGUUCUUGCCCUCCACACUCACAGCUGGGCUCCUGUCUUCCUGCUGUGUGACCCUGGCUUCUGAUCUCUCACGAGUCCAACGUGGAUAUUAACAGGACUGAGCUCAUCAAGCUAUGGUAAGGAUCAAAUGAAAUAGUGUAUCACUCAGUGCCUAACACAAAUAUUCAUCAAAUUAUACCUAUUUGAAAACAAUCUAACAUUUAUUGGUUUAAUUUUCAAUAAAACUGUGACACAAAGAGAACACUUUGUGUUAUAUUCUCUGUGGAAGACAGUCCUGAUGACAAAGCUCAUAUAAUAUACCUAUGUUGUUAAAAAGCCAAACAAAUGUUUAAAGAGAAAGUCAAUACCCUUUCCACCUUUGUUUCCCGUAGCCACUCUCAUCAAGGGUAACCUCUCUUGUUUUCUUACAAUUAAUAGUAAUAGUAGCUACCGUAUAUUAUUAAAUCUAUGUCUGUUGGAUGUUUGUAAACAUGAACAUUUUUAUACUAGUAAGUAUAAAAUUGAUUCAAAGAUGUAUCCCAAUUUCAGAAGUGUUAAAUGUGAAAAUUGUAUGUAGGGGAUUCUUGACACACAAGACACCAUCACUCUUCUCCCCUGAACCCCGCAUAGCAGCAGAUUCGUCUUCCUUCCCAGUCUUCUCUCUGGGUCUUAGUUCAAGCUCCUUCAUCCCCCAGGAGUGGUCUUUCCCCAUUCCUAAGUCAGCCUAUUGAAAUACUGGCCCUGGCUUGAGAUCUAACUCAAGGCCUCACUUGUCUCUGAGGUUUUCGAGACUGUUCCUUUGACCACUCUGUGCUCCCAUGGUUAAUGAUGUUGACUCCCCUCAAGAGUACAUUGUUCCUCACAGAUAUAAAGAACAGAUAUUUGGAUUCUGUGGUAGAAGGUGAGAGUGGGAUGAUUUGAGAGAAUAGCCUUGAAACAUGUGUAUUAUAUAUGUGAAAUAGAUCACCAGUCCAAGUUUGAUGCAUGAAACAGGACACUCAAAGCUGGUGCGCUGGGACAAUCCAGAGGGAAGGGAUGGGGGACACGUGUACACCUGUGGCUGAUUCAUGUCAAUGUAGGGGAGAAAACCACCACAAUAUUGCCAAGUAACUAGCCUCCAAUUAAAAUAUUUUUUUAAAAGGAAAAGGAUAAAAUAUUUCAUUGGUAAUCUUGCUGUGUUGAUUACAUGUUAAAAUAUUACUUUAUAUAUACAUGACUAUAUAAAAUAUAAUAUUCAGUUCAUUUCAGUCACUCAGUUGUGUCCAACUCUUGGCAACCCCAUGAAUCGCAGCACACCAGGCCUCCCUGUCCAUCACAAACU
ensembl:lncRNA